GAGGGUAUAGCUCAGUGGCAGAGUGUGUGCUUAGCAUGCAUGAGGUUCUGGGUUCAAUCCCCAGUACCUCCA
rnacentral:tRNA from 1 species